AUUGAACGCUGGCGGCAUGCCUUACACAUGCAAGUCGAACGGCAGCACGGGAGCAAUCCUGGUGGCGAGUGGCGAACGGGUGAGUAAUAUAUCGGAACGUGCCCAGUAGUGGGGGAUGACUGCUCGAAAGAGCAGCUAAUACCGCAUACGACCUGAGGGUGAAAGCGGGGGAUCGCAAGACCUCGCGCUAUUGGAGCGGCCGAUAUCAGAUUAGCUAGUUGGUGAGGUAAGGGCUCACCAAGGCGACGAUCUGUAGCUGGUCUGAGAGGACGACCAGCCACACUGGGACUGAGACACGGCCCAGACUCCUACGGGAGGCAGCAGUGGGGAAUUUUGGACAAUGGGCGCAAGCCUGAUCCAGCCAUGCCGCGUGCGGGAAGAAGGCCUUCGGGUUGUAAACCGCUUUUGUCAGGGAAGAAACGGCUCCUACUAAUACUGGGGGCUAAUGACGGUACCUGAAGAAUAAGCACCGGCUAACUACGUGCCAGCCGCCGCGGUAA
rnacentral:rRNA from 1 species